UACGUAGGUGGCAAGCGUUGUUCGGAAUUACUGGGCGUAAAGAGCGUGUAGGCGGCCCGAUAAGUCCGCUGUGAAAGUCCAGGGCUCAACCCUGGGAUGCCGGUGGAUACUGCCGGGCUAGAGUCCGGAAGAGGCGAGUGGAAUUCCUGGUGUAGCGGUGGAAUGCGCAGAUAUCAGGAGGAACACCGGUGGCGAAGGCGGGUCUCUGGGCCGAUACUGACGCUGGAGGAGCGAAAGCGUGGGGAGCGAACAGG
rnacentral:rRNA from 1 species